UGUUCGAAGAUAUUGCAAAAAUCAAAAUUUUCAAAUAUGUUUUUUUUCGGAUAACUUGUAAAGUACUUCAUGGAUUCAUUCCAAAAUAUAUCCAGCUCUAAAAUUUACAAGGUACGUCGAGUGCCACCUCAACCAUCAAAAUCGGUUAAUUUAUUUCAAAAUAAACCGUUAUCGAAAGAAUUGCGAAAAAUUGUUUCUAAUUAAAUUCAAAUUGUUUAACUAAUCAAUUAAAGUUGUUUUUGAACGUUAAUGAUUAAGAAACUGGAUUGAAUGCCACCUUGAACGUCAAAAUCGGUUCAUUAUUAUAACCGGGCAGCGUUGGUAUACGACAUGAGAGUGCGGCUCUCUCGCUGUCUCUGUCUGAAUUUGGUCUUUCUCUGUCUCUCAUAUUACAGCCUGAUUGCUAAGUUUGGCUGGGUUAAGCGCUAGACCACAGGGGAUGAUUUCGCGCAGCAGGUGACCGUAAGUCGGUCAUGUGCGCAUAAUUAGGUAGGGGUCAUCGGAGGUUGGGACCUGAGACGUCUCGAUCAGGAUCGACAUUCAAGUCCAAGCUAUCGACUCGACAUUCAAGUGCAGGCAAUCGAUUCAAGUGCAGGCGAUCGAUUCAAACGACACUCAAGUCAAAGUGCUGAUACAUACAGCCUCGUUACUCGUUGCUCGAUUGUGAAAACUGUAAAAAUUCUAAAUUAUUUUGCUCUCUCUAUAAACUGGUUUAUAAAACCAAAUUUUGUUAAGUUGAUUAUCUAAGUGAUUUGUGUGAGAGUAUCCAGCACCAAGUCCAACAUCAACAGCCAGGAUCCGGAAGAGAAGGUCCAACAUGCAGCGGCGUCCAAUACCAUCAAUAUAUAAGAUGCUAUGAACGUCGAGCUCACGGUUGUCCUGCUCGGGGAAAAAUAACAAAUGAUGAACUUGAUUUAUCGAUCGUUCAUAACCAUGUAAGAAAUCCUCAGUUGCAGAAAUAUUGCAUCUUUCAAGAUGCAUUGUUUAUUGCGGCAACGGCACGCCCUUAUAGAUCCCUGAAAGUUAUAUUUGACCAUUUGAGUGUGCAAAAUCAUGAAGCAGCGUCACAAUUCACAUGGCGGAAAAUGCAGCCGCUUAUGGAAAGUUGGCGCCGCAGUGACCGACCACCUCGUCCACCGAUUCCAAGCAAUCUACAACAGUUUGCCGAUUUUUUAAACAUGCCACAGUGGGCCUAUAAUUAACUUUACUAUGAAUAAUUUUUAGUUUUAAAUAAUUCACCAGAAAUAAUAAAUAUAGUCAUAAAUUUUAACGAUUUGAGAAAAAUCUCUGCUCCAAUUUUUUAAAUGUACAUCAAUAAUAAAUUAUGAAGCAGAAAAAUUAAUUAUUUAAUUAAUAAAAUUUUACUGAAGUAAUCAUUACAGAAAAAAAAAUUAAUCAGUUGAUAAUAAAAUAAUUGCACAUUAAAUUUUUGUCAAUAAACAAUUAAAUUAUUGCACUUCAGUUUAAUGGUACGGUGUUACAAAUUUUUUUUAAUUAGUUGGAUUUAUUUUUUAAUUAAUGAA